rnacentral:lncRNA from 10 species
CACCUGCUACCACGCCUGGCUAUUUUUUGUAUUUUUAGUAGAGACAGGGUUUCACCAUGUUGGUCAGGCUGGUCUCAAACUCUUGACCUCAAGUGAUCUGCCCACCUCAGCUUCCCAAAGUGCUGGGAUUAUAGGCAUGAGCCACCAUGCCUGGCCCUCACUAGUUCUUUUAGAAUUCAGAAUUUAAUAUAAACAGUUAGGGAGACAGGUAUUGAAUGACUGAAAAGGCAAAAGUGGUCAUCGAGAUGACAGAGCAAUAUCCGGAGAGAGAGAGAGAGAUUCCUGUAGAAUACAAGACAAGACUAUCACAAUGAGCUGAAAUGUUGGGUCUGUGAAAGUAAUGAGAAGCACAGUGGAAAUAAGUUUCUGAAGGAUGGAAGAGGCUGGAGGCUGGCUAGUGGGAGAAGGUUCCCAGACACGUGAGAGACCCAGCAACAGAUUAAAAUCAUCCUUACCUGACAAGAGGACUCAGUGAAUCAAUGUUGUGCAGGAAGCAUGGCACCAGCGUCUGCUUUGGGUGAGGACCUCCAGCUGCUUCCACUCAUGGUGGAAGGCAAAGGAAAACUGGCUGUGCAGAGAUCAUAUGGUGAGAGAGGAAGCAGGAAAGGAGAGGUGCCAGGUGCUUUUUAACAUCCAGCUCUGGUGGGAGCUAAUAGAGCGAGAACUCACUCGCCAUCCCCCAUCCUAGGGAGUGCAUUAAUCUGUUUAUAAGGGAUUUGCCCCCCAUGACCCAAAAACCUCCCAUUAAGUCCCAUCUCCAAUACUGGGGAUCAAAUUUCAACAUAAGAUUUGGAGGGGUAAAUAAACCAAAUUAUAACAGUUUAUUUCUUGAUUUUGUUUUUGUCUUAUCCUUGUAAAAUAAGCUAGUAGCUUACAUUUAUAUUUUCCUGCCUACCAAUGAGUUUUCAUAUAUCUUCAUAAGUUUAUUGGCUUUUGGGGUUUUGCUCUUUGGUAAAAUUUUAAUGAAUAUUCACAAGUUGCUUUACUCAUUUGUGUCAGUUAGAGAAGAGUCUUGACUUUCCCCCCAAAUCUCAUAGUUACCUGUUUACUUUAUGAUAUGAUUGUCACUCAAAAUAAUCAAUUUUUACAUAGUUGCUCUGGUUUGAAUGUUUGUGUACCUCAAAAAUACAUAUUUUGAAAUCUAAAUCCCCAGUAUGUAGGUAUUAAGGGAUGGAAACUUUGGAAGGUGCCUAGAUCAUGAAGGUGGAGCCUUUGUGAACAGGAUCAGUACCCUUAUGAAAGAAGCCUGAGGGAGUUCAACUCACCCCUUUCUAUUAUGUAAGGAUGCAGCAGGAAGAUGUUGUCUAUGACGUCAGAGCCCUCACCAGACACUUAAUUUGAUGGCAACUUGAUCUUGGACUUCUCAGUCUCCAGAACUGCCUCAUAAGGUUAUCUUGAGAAUUAAAUCAGAAGAUGCAUGAAAAGUUCUUGAUAUGUAGUAUAUACUCAAUAAAGGUUUAUAUUAAAAAGUGUCAAAAUAAUGCAGUCAGAGAAGGACCCCAGAUAAUGUACACAGUAGUAGAAUGUAAGUUUCAAGAUGGACUCAUGAAUAAUCCCCGAAGUCAGCAGGAGAAAUGAUGGAAUAGGAAUUCCUAAGUGGCCUAAUUCUGAAAUGAGCAUGAGAAUGGAGAAAACAGUAUAGCACCAUUUGUACUACCCGCUUCCUUAAACUCAUGACUGGAUUUGGGAGAAGUUCAUGUUGGUCAGGAACAUUGUAUUUAAACUCCAAUUGGAUUUUCUGGAUGUAAAUAGUUAUAGUAAUAUAAAUAACAAGAAGUGACUAUCAGUGUGCAGAUAUGCAUUUAGAAGUGGCCUCUAUGGGAUAAGGUAGAGUCUUGUCUGGAGGGUUGAUACCUUUAACAUGACACUGUAGAGGAAAGCAGCAUUGAUAAUAAUAGAUAUUGGGGAAAGACUAGGUUGGAAAAGAAAUAAGUGACACCAGAUGAUUGACAUACAACAUGAAGAUUUUAAAGCCUGAGUUGAAACUUUCAUUAUAAUUAAAAAAUAUAUAUUAUUAUUUGUUCUGGAAGUUGUUAUUGUUGUUUUGUUGUUGUCUGUUAAGCAGGGUUUUUGAAGGGACCUGAUUCUUACAGGAGGAGAAAGGAGUUUACUACAGUUAAGAGUCUAAGAGAAAAAUCUAGGGUGGAUAUAGAAUAAAGUUUCUUCCUUUGGAUGCAAAAAGAAGAAUUUUGGCUGAUCACUGAAGGAUAUACUUAAGCCAGUUAGAAAAUAACUUGCUCCCCCAAAGAUGAAGGAUAUAUAGAAUAAGAAGCCUUGAGCUGGUCAGUUAAGCAGGCAAAAGAAAGAGAAGAGAGAGGUGAGAAGGCAGGAAGGAGAAAUAAACGUGGCCAUGAAUGCUGAAACCCUCUGUAUACUUGUAAUUUGCCCUAUUUGCUUGAUACUUGUACCUUCAUAUUCUUCUUGCAGCUAUAAAAUCGCCUGAGCACUUUAAAGGCACAGAUGAGUGCACCGUGCUGGAGGAGAUCAGGCUGGCAAGGAAUGAAAAUCAUCAGUGAAAGGCCAGGGAAGAACCCCGGGUGCAUUGUCUUUAGAUAAGAAUCUCUGCUUUCUGAAAUGCAAGACAGACAGAUAUUGAAAGAAUAGCAAAGCCAACUGGUUCAUCCUAAGGGCUAUGUUUUUAACAUAGAUGAAUUACUAGUCAAGGAGAGGGUUACAUCAGGAGGGUUGGAAGGGAAUGGAGAAAAGAUUCAGAAGAAUGAGCCUGGAAAUGAAAAUUAAAACAAAGAGAUGUCAUUUGUCAACUACCAAAUUGGUGAAGACUUACAAAGAAUUACAGUACCCAGCAUUUUCUAGGAUAAAUGAAGAAUGGGACUCUAAUUUAUACAUUACUAGUGGGAAUAUUCAUCAGCACAGACUUUCUGGACUCAAAUUUGGCAAUGUGUGCAGAAAGCCUUAAAUACGUGUACUUUCAAAGCCAUUGUUUUAGUUAGGAUUAGUUCAGCUGCGUGUGAUAGAAAACCAACUUCUAAAAUGACUGAAACAAGAUAAAAGUAUAUUUCUCUUUCUCUCUGGAGGUGGGCAGUCCAGGGCUGGUUUGGCAGCCAUAGAAGGUGAUAUGGACCCAGAGACCUAUAUCUUUUUGUUCGAUCGCCCCAGCAAAGUCUUCUCAUAUCCUCGGUGGCUCCUUUGGCUCCAACCAUCCUGUUAGAACUCUGCCUGAGGAAGACCAAAAGCAGACUUUACCUUUAAAUAACACUUUGAAAAGUUGUACUUUACUACACUUUUACUUCUAGCUCAAUGCCUAGAGCUUCUGGUUGAAAAGGUGGCUGGAAAAAAAUGUAGCCUUUAUGUAGGCAUCCAUGUGCUCAGCAAAAUUUCAGUGAUCAAAUAAUAAAAGCAAGGAACAACGAGUGAGAGCAGCAGCCUCUGACCUAUUCCACUUUUAUUUAUAUAAGGAAGUACUCAGAAAACAAUUCAAAAGUGGGUAUACACACAUUUAUUGCAGCACUAUCAUAAUACAAAAAAAUAGAAAUCACUUAAGACCCCAAAAAGGAAGUAGUUCAAUAACUUAUAAUACAAAUUAUAAUACAUACAUGUAUAGGAUACUCUAUAGCCAUUAACAUGGUAUAUAAAAGGACCAGGAGCUGUGGCUUACACCUAUAAUUCCGGGGCUAUGGGAGGCAAAAGCAGCAUCACUUGCUAAGAGGACUUCAGGACCAGCCUGGGCAACAUAGUGAGACCCAGACUCUACCAAAAGUUAAAAAAAAAAAAAAAAAAAAAAAAGCCAAGUGUGGUGCUGCGCACCUAUAGUCCUAACUACUGGGGAGGUUGAGGCAAGAGGAUCAUUUAAGCCCAGGAGAUGAAGGCUGCAGUGAGCCAUGGUUGUGCUACUGCACUCCAGCCUGGGUGACAGAGCUAGACCUUGUCUCUAAAACAAACCCAAACCAAACAAACAUGGUAUAUAACUGAAUUUCUUGAUGUGAAAAAGUAAUUGCGAUGUGUUACCAAUUGAAAAGCAGUUUACAAAGUGGCAUGGCUACUAUCAUUCAUGUUUGUAAGAAAAAGUCUAAAUAAAUAAAAGUCAGAAUAGAUAUACGUUAAAAUGAUAAUCUCUAUUGAUUGGAGGAAUUGUUGGCAAUUUUAAUUUUCUUCUUUGUACUUUGUAAUUUCUGAAUUUGUCACCAAUGACUAUAAAUGUAUAUUUAAAAAAAAUCACACACCAGGAUUCUAUACCUAUUUUGCACUGCCAAAGAUACACCUUUCUUUAAAAUCUUGCUAUUUCUCGAACUAUCACAGUAUUUGCUCCUCCUUCCACUUUUGACUGUUUCCAUACUAAUCAUUUCUAAAUAAAAUUAACACAUCAAUUUCCCUAUAAGAACAACUCUUACCAUACUAUUUCUGUUAAACCAUAAAUACUCUGGAAUUGCUUCUUGAAUUAAAAUAAAUAAAAUUUUCUUUCCUUGAACUUCAAAGUUUUUCACUUGAUACUCAAAACCUACUUUGUUCAUUUCAUCAUGCCAAUGACAUCUUCCCUGACAAAUGUGUUAUUAGCUGGUCUCAAAUACUUCCAGUCUUUUUCUGCUUCCAGGUCUCUAUGUCAGAAAUACUCUUCUUUCUCUAUCUUUCAAUGUUAAAAUCCAUCUUCCAUAAUCUUUAAGAUCCUUCUCAAAUAGUGUCUCCCCUGUAAAGCAAUUCCAGUAGAUGUAAUCUCUACAAACUUUUCACAGUUGCAAUGGUUAUCUUCAGUAUUAUGUAAAAGCUAUUUUGAGGCUUGUCUUCUUCCUUUUGUUAGAAUCUUGCAAAUUCUCUGAAGCCCAGACUUUAAGUUAUUCAUCUUUGCAUCCUCCAUUAUACCUAUCACAGAACUUAAGUACAAUAGGACCUCAGCCAGUGUUCCAGGAAAUAAAUUAAAUUGAAUGAAAUUUCCAUACAGUGAUAAGAAGGAGAUUACUGCUGCCCACGGGGAAAAAGGAGAACAGAAAUGGGAAAGCCGUAUUGAGAGGAUGUUUGAGAACUGUGAAAGACAGAAAGCAGACCAGAUUGCCAUGCCUAAACCACUUUCUUUGAAGUUUAUGGAAGCACCACUGCAUUUAUGCCAGAAGGUGAAAGUCCAGAACAGGUGCUUUUUGGUUUGAGAAUGAGUGUUCUACAUACUGGCCUGUAAGGCAGUGCUACUCCAAGUGUGGUCCACAGGCUGGCAGCAACAUCAUAGGGGAGUAUGUUAACAAUGCUGAUUCUCCAGCCCCAGCUCCGGACUCUGUUUUAACGGUCUAUCCAGGCAUGAAUUCUACUCAAGUGGCCUGCCCCUCAGCAGAAGUUGGACAGGUGCUUAUGUUGCAAUUAACAAAAAGGAUACAUGCUGGGUCCUGCAGUAAAUGUCUCCCUUGGAUCAUGAAGUCUUUUUACCAUGUUACUGGAACACAGAAGAUGAACAAACUGAAGCUAAAGAGAAGUAUUAUGUGUGCAAUGGCAUACAACCAUCUGAAAUGGAAAAAUAGAUUGUGUUCCUAUGAGCUUCCAUAAUACCAUGUGACUUCUCUGACAUAUGGAGGGUUUUGAGCCUGGGAAUGAGGCAUUGUCUGUAAGUUACUAGCACCAACAGUGUAUUUUGGGAACAAGCACAGGCUGAGAAAAAAGAACAAGCCAGAUAUGAGAAGGGAAUCUCAAAUAUCGGCUACUCAGAAGUGCCUUCUCUGGCCACUCUCUCUAAAAUAGAAAUGACCCUAUCUUUCACAAUUACCUGACCUGAUUUGUCUUUCAUAGUUCCUCACAGAACUUGACAUGAUAUUAUAUAUUUUUUUGUUUUUUUUUUUUGGAAAUAUUUUCCCCUUUGGAACAUAAGCUUCAUGAAGGCAAAGACUUGUUGGUUUCAUCUGUACAUCCAGUACCCAUAACAGUGUCUGGCACAUAGUAGAUACUCAGUGAGAGAUUCAGUGUACACACAGACAAUGGCCUCACCAGAUAUAAAAACAGAACUUUAACCCACAACCUGCAGCAACCUGUCCAGGAAAUCAACCCCUUAUCUACUAUAAGCAAACCAGGAAGCCAGCCUGCUGUAAGUCAGACUUUUCUGGGAGUUAGAUUGCUAUUUCCAGUGACAUUCUAGGAAGCUAAACAACUGCUGUAACAAUUUGCCUAAAAUGAACAGGACUUGAUUAAUACCUGAAAGCUUCCCUCAUUUUUGUCCCCAACUUAGGAUCCACUAGAGAAAGACAAAUAUAUUCCCCUAACCAAUCACAUAGCAUUCUGUGUCCAGUUAGCUAGCCUACAGCUUCCCUGUGCCAACAGCCUCCAAUCGGGGCAUAGCUGAAGCCUUUCCUUUUUUUCCACCAUAAACCUUCCUACUUCUCUGUCUGCUUUUGAGUCUCUGCCAAAACACAAGUGACAGUGGCUAACUUCCUUGCGUUGGUAAGCUCAGAAUAAAUAGACUUUGCUGU